ensembl:snRNA U6 U6 spliceosomal RNA
GUGCUCAUUUUGACCGUACAUAUACUAAAAUUGGAAUGAUAUGAGAAAAUUAGCAUGGCCCAUACACAAGAAUGACACAAAAAAUUCAUAAAACAUUCCAUAUUAAA